UAGGGAAUCUUCGGCAAUGGACGAAAGUCUGACCGAGCAACGCAGCGUGAGUGAAGAAGGUUUUCGGAUCGUAAAACUCUGUUGUUAGAGAAGAACAAGGACGUUAGUAACUGAACGUCCCCUGACGGUAUCUAACCAGAAAGCAACGGCUAACUACGUGCCAGCAGCCGCGGUAAUACGUAGGUGGCAAGCGUUGUCCGGAUUUAUUGGGCGUAAAGCGAGCGCAGGCGGUUUCUUAAGUCUGAUGUGAAAGCCCCCGGCUCAACCGGGGAGGGUCAUUGGAAACUGGGAGACUUGAGUGCAGAAGAGGAGAGUGGAAUUCCAUGUGUAGCGGUGAAAUGCGUAGAUAUAUGGAGGAACACCAGUGGCGAAGGCGGCUCUCUGGUCUGUAACUGACGCUGAGGCUCGAAAGCGUGGGGAGCAAACAGG
rnacentral:rRNA from 1 species